GCGAACUGUGGGCGAGCGGCGAGGGGAAUACAGAGGUCCCAAGCGGUGGUCGGAGUAACUGGGCGUAAAGGGUGCGGAGGGUUGUAGGGAAGGCCGAGGGGAAAUCGCCAGGCGCAACCUGGAAAUGGCAUUGGAUACUAGCUAGCUGGAGGAGUGGAGGGGGGACUGGAAUUCUCGGUGUAGCAGUGAAAGGCGUAGAUAUCGAGAGGAACACCAGUGGCGAAGGCGAGUCCCUGGACACUUCCUGACACUGAGGCACGAAAGCUAGGGGAGCAAACAGGAUUAGAUACCCGAGUAGUC
rnacentral:rRNA from 1 species